UCAGGAGAAAAUUCAUCCACAGUCCACAAGCAGACUCCAGCUGGGCCUCAACUCAGUGAGAUGAAUCGACAGCCCUUUUGUUUUGCUUAAAGGUAUCUGAUGACAAAAGAGAAGAUGAAACUGUGGGAUUUGAGUAACUACCCAUGUUCCAUGGUCAGUUCACAAGUAACCAAACAAGCUUUGAGACUGAAGGCCUUGCAGAAAGUGACCCUGGAUGACAGCAUGGACUUACAAGUGCUAUUACAGUAAAGUUAGUAGGAGCAGUGCAGUCUUUAUUAUAGAAUGC